AGCCACUGAUUCCGGCGCAGUAACACAGCAAUACCCCGAAGCCGGCGCCUCCGCGGGGAGACCCCAGCAAUGAACCGCUCGCUUUUCUCCCCUCACUCUCCCUCCAACCCCGCCGUGUGUCCCGGUGUCCCUCCUCGGGCUGUGCCGCCGCUCUGCUUUGCCGUGCCAAGGGUGGGCAGCUCACGGUUCCCCCAGAGCUCACCCUGCCCCCGUUCACCGGCCCCGGCGGGUCCCGGUGCCUCCGCAGCCCGUCCCUGCACGGAGGAGGAGGAGAAGCAGGAAGGUCAAGCGCAGGUUUCCUCGAGAACCUCUCCAGGAAAUCGGUCCAGUGUUUGACAUCCCUCUCGAUUCACCCAAAGAAGGGGAAAUUCCUGGUAGCUAAAGCCCAGGAGAUGGGGCUGCCAGUGGGAACUCCAGCCAUCCUUCCCAUAAUUACAGCUCUCAGAAGCAGUCAGAGCUGCACUGGGGCAGGCACAGGCACACACACAGCUGGGCAGUCCCUUCCUCUCCUUGGCUGCCAGGCCCAGGCUGGACACAGCCCUGAGGCCCCUGGUCUGACCUCCAGCAGCAGGUUGGACCUCUCAAGGUCCCCUCCAAGCUCCAGUCUCCCUGUGAUUUUCCAGGCCUACCAUUCCCUCCUGCUCCUCUCCCACAGGAGCCUCUUCAGAGCCUGUGUACAAACACCAGGCUGCAGCUCUGUUUAUUUUCCAGCUCUCCAAACCCAGUGUGAGCUCUCAGGCUGUCUGUUUGCUUCAAAAAGAGCCACUAAUGUUACUGUAACCAGAGUACCCCAACAUAAACAGUACUGACCAUCAAUAUCCCUUGUCUUCCUGAGUUCCAAAGGCAAACCUUAUCUUUCCCAGUGCUUUGCUUUCCAAACACUGUCUCCCUUUAUUCUUAGUGCCAAUGUUCUUCCCUUUGUCUUCCAGUGAUCCAAACAGCCUUUUGAGUGAGGACCUCUCUAGACCUCCAGAUCUUGUCAUGGCUAUUUACAGCUGUUCUGUUAGACUUCCUUCAGACCUAUAAUACAUCUAACAUUUAUCCUUCUGAUUCCCAUCUCUUCACACAACAGCUCAAAGUAGCACAGUAGUUUUCCCUGGGUAUUCCCACUUCUGGGUUAAAGAAAAGGUUUGUUUGUUCCUUUGAAUGGCAAACUCUUUGUUCACACGCAUUUUCCACAUUACAGUGCUGCAGCCUUGGCACUUGGCUCUGCACCCUGUAGCCACAUGAGAAGGGAAACAUCAGCUUAGAUCUUAAACUCUUGUUGGGGUGUCCUGUGCAGGGCCAGGAGCUGGACUCGAUGAUCCUUGUGGGUCUCUUCACUCUGUGAUUCUGUGAUUUUUAGAAUGCUUCCCAAUAAAAGCUGGAGUUUCCAAAGGCAAGUGUUCUGUCUGUGCGUUCCUGCCUGACUUCUGUAUCAUUCCCUCCCCCUGGAAAUGUUU